GAUCCUGGCUCAGGAUGAACGCUGGCGGCGUGCUUAACACAUGCAAGUCGAACGGGGUGCUCAUGACGGAGGAUUCGUCCAAUGGAUUGAGUUACCUAGUGGCGGACGGGUGAGUAACGCGUGAGGAACCUGCCUUGGAGAGGGGGAUAACACUCCGAAAGGAGUGCUAAUACCGCAUGAUGCAGUUGGGUCGCAUGGCUCUGACUGCCAAAGAUUUAUCGCU
rnacentral:rRNA from 1 species